CAGUCGCCACGGGAAUACGUAGGGUGCGAGCGUUGUCCGGUAUUAUUGGGCGUAAAGAGCUCGUAGGCGGUCCGUCGCGUCGAAUGUGAAAACCCGGGGCUCAACUCCGGGCUUGCAUUCGAUACGGGCGGACUAGAGUUCGGUAGGGGAGACUGGAAUUCCUGGUGUAGCGGUGAAAUGCGCAGAUAUCAGGAGGAACACCGGUGGCGGAGGCGGGUCUCUGGGCCGAUACUGACGCUGAGGAGCGAAAGCGUGGGGAGCGAACAGGAUUAGAUACCCCCGUAGUCCCUGUCUCUUAUAC
rnacentral:rRNA from 1 species